rnacentral:ncRNA from 1 species
UCUAGCCUGCGCGUUCGAGCGGGCCCCGGACGAGGGAGCCGUACCCGGGAGCGCGACAAGACGGCCAGA